rnacentral:snoRNA from 1 species
UGCCUGUGAUGUUCUAACAUUUGUCCGUACCAUCUGAGAAAUUUUUUUUUCCUGAUGUAUUCUCUCUAAGUUUUAUUUCUGAGGCAU